rnacentral:tRNA from 1 species
GAGGGUAUAGCUCAGUGGUAGAGUGCGUGCUUGGCAUUCACGACGUCCUGGGUUCAAUCCCCAGUGCCUCCA